CCCCCGCCCCCGCGGCGUGGGGCCGGGUGGGGCACGCGGGGCGGGGUUGGGGGUGGGGGGGUCCCCUCGCCCCUUCCCGCCCUACCGGUCGUCUCUGCGGUUGUCGGAUCGCUGCGGCGCCCUGGAGACGGGCGGGCGGGCGGAGAAAGCGAGGCGUCGCCUCGCUGCCCCUCUCCCGAGCAGAGCGCAGCCUCCGCGCCGCGUCCCUCCCGGCGCUCUGCCCCGCCGGUUCCACGCUCCGUCGCACCACAGUGCUGCCUGCCUGCCUGCCACGAUCCCCUCCCCCGACGCCAUGAUGCCUUUCGACACCUCACGUCUUUUCUUUAGUGAAAAACAGAAGCCCUCAGAAGGGGAACUCGGUUCCCACAGGCCGCCGGUACAUCUGGCUGUCGGCACAGCGGGGUCGUCCCCACACCGCGGGCCGCUGCCCGCCUCAGGCGCCAUGUUGAGGGGCAGAACGAACGCACCUCUGUCUCGCCCACUUUUCUGAGGUUUUCUGAGGGAUAAACCCCCUAGGAAUAGCUUUCCGCAGCGGCAGCCUCUGUAGGUGUGGGCCAAACCUCCCCGUGACAAUGUGUGUUCCUUCAUUCUUCCUUCCACGCGGCACUGAGCAAAAGCCCCAGGCCAUGCUGCAGAGUGCUGUCACACAGCAAGUCGUCCAACAGGUUUCUCUUUCUAAACAAGAAGGUAUGGCGUUUGGCUCAGGUUUACCAGAUGGCCCGCAAAGCUUUCGCCAGAUCUCGGUGGGAAGAAGAAAAAGAAGGGUUAGGAAGGAAGCACCAGUGCUUCCCUCAGACAGGGAGCUCCUGAGGGCUCCACGUGCUGGAGAUCUGCCCUCCAGAGUUGCUGUGAACUGUGCAUGACUCACUCAAUAGUAACCCUCUUUUUUCUUUUUUUUUUUUCCUUUUUGGUUGCUUACCUAUCUGCUGAGUGGAUGAGACCACAGAUCCUGGCUGAGCAGUCGUGUUGAGUGGAGAAAUCUCCAAGCCCCCGGAUGUUUACUGCAACGAAACACAGAGAUGUGAGCUGUUGUGGCACAGAGCACAUCCACAGAGCCCUCCAUCCUGUGCCAGCAGACCAACGGCCCCCAGUUACGGCUCCCGGGGGCUGAGAGCCCCACAUCUUUUUGUCCUGCACUGAAAGAAAAUGGACUCGUGCCAUUCGCUUCUAUUUUAAGCACCCGCCUUCUCAAUCCACUUCAUGGAGAGACCCAACCAAAGCAAUUAUCUCAGUGUCACCUGGCACAGCCACAUAAACAUGGCCUGCGCUGCAAAGCGGGAGUCUCCCCAGAAAGACGCAGUCUAUGCAGCUGAUGUGGUUUGGCAAACAACACCAGGCCCCACAGCACCUACCCGGCUCCCCAUACUCGAUGCCUUUAAACGCUGAAGGCCAUAGAAAGCCUGCAGUGAGUUUCCUGGAGAAGUCUCUUAGGCCGCUCCAAAAUCUUGUCCGGGAGUCUGAAAGACGUCCGUGAUGCGUUCAGAGGGACAGUGCAUGUUCCAUUCUUCAAAUAUUUAUAGAUAUGCCUCGUGUUUGAGUGAAGCUGACGUUUCUGGUGAAGUAGAAGGAUUACAGCAGGGGGAGGAAUUACCCUAAAUCGGCAGGCAUUUUUGUCCAUUAACUAACACAAGGCUAAAAGGAGAAUUAAGCAUCUGGCAGUCAGGAGCUCGGCUCCACUGCAAGGGAGAUUUCAUAGCAGUAUGCUUCAAGAUCAAUUACAGAAAAAAAAAGAAGAAGGAAAACAAAAAUGAACUAGAACAGUGUGCUGCAUAACACUGGGUGCUAAGGAGACUGGAAAAAAACACUGAAGCUGGAAGGUUUGGGCCCUGGACAAGUGUAAUGGCCUGUUGUCUUUGAGGAAGGGCAUUUCUUCCUCCUCCCUGUCCCACACCCACAGCAGUGCCUGCAUUGCACCGACUCAGCUGGUCAUGGGGCUGUGUUGUGAAACCUUGUGGGGAGGUGAUGGGGAGGAAGGGUUGUGUAACCCAAAUGCAUUCCCCAGUCCAAUUCACAGCCAAGCCUCAUCAAUUGGCUGAAGGGGGAAGAAUACCUAGAACCGAUCUUGCCACCAACACAGCAUAUGGUCGUCCCACUGCCUAACCGCAAUGCCUCUGUUGUGUUUGGGACAGCUGCACCCUAAAAACCUGGGCAGGGAGUAAGGCAGGAGGUCUUUUUCCAGCCCCACUCCCCUGAACGCAGGCAGCUCGACCUUCCCCAUAUCUGCACAUCAUGUGGGGCAAAGCAUUGGGUUGGGGAGCUUUCUUACCUGGCACUGCCAAUGAGCUGGUCCCAGCAGGAGUAAGAGUGAAUGCAGUUCUCUCCUGGAGCUGGGGCCGCAGGGCUUCAGUGCUCCUCAGCUGGCAGCAACUGCACGAGAACUGCUCCCGUGCUAAAGCCAAAUCUCCUCUGUCAGUCAUCAGGUGUAAUAAAGUCUCAUUAGCACAAAACAAUCCCACUGAGCAGCGCUCCCCUCUGCUACGCCCUCCCUUCAGGCUUCAUCCCCUUACUCCACAUGCUCUUGCUGGGGACAGGACACAUCCCUUGUUUAGGGCUGAGGUGAGCACUGUGGCUAACACAAGCUAACCAAGUCCUUGGCAAAGUGAGGGGGAAGCCCACAUCCAGCCCAUGCCGAAGGCAGUCUGCUUGAUUUAAACUAGCCCCCUUCCUUCCUCGCUGCCUGCACCAGCUAGUGCAGCAUCACGCUAGGCCCACGCCAGCACCUGGUAUCGUUUAAAGGUGUCUUGGUCACUUUCAGAUUUAUAUUUAUUUGAUUUUACCUAUAUCUCUUUCCCCCUUUGCAGCAGGCCCUGUUGCUUAUGGCCACACAACACAGGAGAAAACUACACUGUCGAGAGAAGCCACAAAUCCACCUGAUCCCACACCAUCCAGUGUCAUGACCUGAUACAACCUUAUCCAUUAAUUAACGGGAACCAGUUCCUAACAGCACCUAGACACGCUGUUCCCAGGCUUGCUGUUAUCAUUGGUGUUGUUCCUUUGAAAGCACCGUAUGCAGCCUGGCAGGGCCUGCUGGGGAAGAGGAUUUUAUAUACGGCUGUUGAGAUCAGUAGUGGAGUGGCAGAGUGAUGACUAACCUUAUAAAACACACUUUUUAAAGCACUGAUGAUGGAGUAGACACUAAUUACGCCUGCCAGCGUGACUGCUGGGGAGUGCAGUCCCAUGGCCACCUUCAGCACACAUGGUUGCACAGAGCAGGAUGCAAAGGACAGCAUUUAAACACAGUCACAGUAAGCUGUCUUCUGGACAGCUGACUGUGGUUGGGUAAAACUUAACGAAGCUCUGAAAAAUUUGAUAUUAAAAUUGUUCUGCAGGAUUUUCAUGUUUUAGGUCUGUAAAGCUGAGUUUUCAUCUUAUAAUUACGAUAGUAAAUUGCUGCUUUUUUUUUCCCUUUCUUCUGAGAAAGAGAGCAAAUGCUUUUGAUUGCAGCCAUUGGCAGUGGCAUGUACACCCUGAAAUUUAAUCAGAAUCAGGAAUAAUUUUUUUUUGCCUACGUAUCAAAAACAUGACCUUCCCUCACCAUCACCAUCAUCAUCUAAAUUAUUCAGUGCAGUGUACAGCCCUUGCCAGCAAACUGCAGAGCAUCAGACUGUUCUCACGGGGUGGUUACGGUGAAGGAGUCCAUCUGGGGCACUGGCUGCAUCAGUGGGUGACACCAAUCCUUAGUGCCCAAGCUAUUCCACACCAAGUGUGAUACUCACAAAAGCCAGGAAAGAACGUUUUCAAAGGAUUCAACUCUUCGCUUCUGACUGAGUUUUAAAUCAGUUCUAUUUUUUCCAGGCUAUUUAUUCAUCGCUGUCAUAGCAAUUGAGUGCACUGUAAUAAAAAGUUAUUUUGAGGGGCUACUGCUUUUACAGCUGAGCUAUGUACAUUGGCCUUUUCUGUAGCAUUUGCUUUUUAAUUAAUAAUUGGUACGUUGCCAGAAGCAAAAGAGAAGUAGGAACAAGUCCUAGGUAAUAAACUCGUCAAGGUUAUCUUGUUCUUCUUGUUUCACUGCAGCAAAGUAAGAGGGAGAGAUGUCAGAUGCAGCCAGGCAGCAAGAAAGUGCUGCCACUGCGAUGUGGAGCCAGGACCUGCAAGCUGCUUUCUCAAGGUACCUUCCCGCAGCCACACUUGUGAGCAUGGUCAGCUCUCUGGCAGAAGCUCCCCAAAAAGGAGCAGAACACCUCUCAUCAGAAACAGUGACUGCUCCCACAUGGAACACCUGUAAAUCCAGCACAACAGUGACGCUCCUCCUACAGCAGUGUACUCGAUGGGACAAGAAAGAAUCUACUUGGAAUUCUACUUCUGUAUCAGCAGAAACUGGACAAUAAUUAUUUUGCAAACAACGAAGAUAUGUACAAAACAUUUAUUUUUCUGUCCUGGCAUUGUGAACAUCUUAUCCUUCUCCUUGCCUUACAUCAGAGGCAUCCCACAGCAUUUUGUGACAAGCUGAAGAGCUGCAAACCUGAAAUCUGCCCAGCAGCACAGUCUCUUCACUGGUGAGAAAACUUAGGAACACAUGUACUGGAGCAGCUUCAGCUGAACCUCUUCCAUUUCGUUUUCAUUUUUUUCUUUUUUGCAGAUAUAGUUUUAAGCACCAGUAAACUCCCAGCUGCAGGAACGCUGCCAGUCCUCAUAUAUAACCUAGAUUUUGAAACCGUCUUGACUUCAUGCCUCUCCUUGAUGAGGCUCUGCUGCAUGACUUCCCUUGGACUCUCUCAGAGCCAGCUUGGGUAACCUAACUCCAGUUAAAGCCAUUCAUUUUGUGGGACGGAUGCUGACAUCCAAGCUGGCUGUUGUCUGGGCAGCGUGAAGGCCUGCCAGUAAGCAGAGGAGACCAAGCCAACACCAUGUGCAGGAGGUUUUUCAAGACACUCCCAAACGUUUGGCAGAGAACUUGCAGCCAUGACAGGAGUGACGUUUCACUCGGCCCACAGCCAUGCAGGGCACAGCGGGUGCUUCACCACCAGGCUGGGACUGGCACGUCCCCAGUGAGAUGGGCAGAAACUGGGCUGUUCUGAAGCUCCCUUGGAGGCACUCAUCGAGCUUGAUCCCAAAGGAAGUGCAGCGCAUCCUCACAGUGCCAACUCCCUGAGGACCCUGGCAAAGCAGCAGUUGCAAGUCGUGGUUUCAGUCCUGUAGCUCUGGCUGGGAAACUCCUGCUCCACACCCAUCGCCAGGCCCCGUGGAUCCCCUGUAACUGGUUUCCGUGGUUUUGUGCUCAUAAAGCCUUUGCUGGAGGCCACAGGCCAUUUGCCUUGCCACAUUGCUGGGUUGCAUGCACAGUCAGUGCCUGUGCCUCAUGCUCACUGCAGCAAGCAGAGGCCAGCAGUACGACUGGGGUACGGGAUGCUGUCCCCAGCGCCCUUCAUGGGGCUCCCAGAGCUCAGAGUGAGUCCAGACAAGGGUGUGCAGUGAGCAGAGGCAUCCAGCUGCGUCAGCCCCAAACCCCUCCCCACCUUUGGUGAGGGCAGUUCAGAGAGAUACACAAAAAACACGGCUUUUCUUCUGCGGCAGUAUGUACACAUACCAGAGUUAUCAGAAAGCUCUUAUCUUGCUACUGUAGAACUCGCUGAUAAACUUUAGCAAUAAUAAAAACAAAAAAACAGGGUGAGGGGAAAUGAAAUAAUCCACGCAUCUCAUUUUAAUAUCCAGCCUCAUAGCUACAGGUUAAUGAAAAAUGAAGACGUGGGGAAGAUAAAGGGAAGAUGUGCCUAGGGACUGAGAUCAGCAACAUCAUCGGAGUAAAUAAAGGGUUUUCUUCUUGCAGCUCUGUGGAGAAAUCCCUCUGACGUGGAUGUGUGCUAAUAAAUAGAACUUUAGAAACCAGCACACAGCACAGGUGAGAUAUGGCCACGUAAAUUAGUAAACCACUGCCUCAUGUAUGAAAUUACUGCAGGUUUUGUGCUUGAUCCCGUAUGUAUUUAACCUUUCCCAUGUAAACAGUCUUCCAAAGGUAAUGGAGCUGUAGUAAUUUGCAAUGGCUGGGGAUUAAGCCGGAGGGGUUAAGCGUUCCUGCCGGCUCACAUUGCAGCACGCUGUAGUAACGAGGCUGUAGGACAGCUCGGAGAUGUUCCUGCUCUGACACAGACAGCCGUGGCCAUUGCACCACAUCGCUGGCGGCAUCACUGUGUCCGUGGGCAAAGAAGUGCAGCUCUGGCCCUGCAGAGGAGCAUGCAGACAUGUUGUUGGCCGCAGCAAUGUAAGCUCAUUUCUUGCUUUCUCUCAUUCUCACUGGGGAAGUGCCAAUGCUUUCCAGAGACCGUUUCAUUACUGUUAUGCUGCUUACAAGCAUCUUAAUUUAAAUCACAUUAUAGAUGCAUUGAGGCAAAAUGAUCUAUCCACAGCCUAAAUAAUGAACCGGAGUGAAAACAUCCUUGGGCUGUGAGAAGCUAGAACAAGCACUAAUUGAAAUAUAUAAACUUACAUAACAUUAUUUAUAAAAAGGAGCUCGGUUGUGAAAGGCUGGAGCAUGGGAAUGUUUCUCUCUGCAGAGAAAAAUUAAUUACGUAGCUUUAUAUAUUCCAGUUGCUUUGGUUGCUCAUCUCCUAAUGCGCCUAAGGACUACUUGAAAGGUAUUUAUGGAUCCCAGCCACUGCUUCUGGAUGGUGUUUUUUAACUUAGCACUUAUGCACGUCAUUGCCUCGCAGGAUAUUGCAGUGGGGGGGUAAUUAGCUUUAUGCACCGUGCUCCUCAGCUUUAAAAGACAUGCAGAUUUGCCCUGAGGUUCUGCAGUAGCAAAUAUAUUUUAGAAGAUGCUGGGAGGAGGCCAGGGCUGACCAAGUCACCAGAUACUUGGUGCAGGGUGGUGGGGCGGCUGCUGUGUCUGGGGGUGCAGGCAGAGCUCUGAGGUAGUUGUAGUCAAAUGCACUCCUCUCUGCACAAGCCUGCUGUCUCUUUUAUUAUGGCUUUGAUUAAUUUCUGCUGCUGCUACUGCCGGAGAGAUGCUAUGAAGACUCAAUGAAGACCCUUAUGCAUGGCUGGAAGAUCCACGGGGCGGCCAACAACCCAGCAUGGGGCCAAACAUCCUCCAGCAAGCGCUCCAACCCAGCUUAGUCAGAAUGCCUACGCAAGGAGGAAGUUGCAGCCAGGACAGUUGUGGUGCAGAGUCUCCCUCAACUCCUCUAUUUCUUGGGCUGGCAGAAGUUGUAGCUAGCAGCCUGGCCUCCGUGUUUGCUGAACAGCACUCUGAGCCCUGGGAUUUUGACAGACCUGGAUCCACAGCAGUGAGUUGUCAUCUGUUUUUCCAGAUACAAACCACAUGAAAAGUGCCACAAACAGUCAUCAGCGGCUGCUGCACUGACCUCCCCGGCCAGGCUGUCUUAAAAAGGCACUGUCUGAACCCAGCACUGACUGAGCGCCUUUCUGUAAAUAUUUGGAAUAAAUGAAUAUUUGGAAUAAAUGAACCAUUCAAAUCCCCCAGAAGGGGAAGAAAACAUUUCCACCACCAAUGUGGAGCAAGCUGAGUCAUCAGGUGAAGCUUCCAGAGACUUACACAUCCACAGAUGUUCAGUCAAUACAUAAAUGAAGAAGCAUACUCGGAAAGACGGUAAGUGAUUUAUUUUAUUGAUAGGUAACAAAAUAUAGAAAGGACCGAUGUACAAAAAUGAAAAUCUCUCAAAAUGCCCAGCAAAAUGUUCUAUGAAUUAAGCAAUUCUGGGGAUACGUGGACUGAGAAAAAAGAAAAUUGCAUCGAGAGGAAUCUGUUUGCAACCAGAUAGCAAAUGCAAGCCUUGCGCAUUGUGCAAUGCAUGACUUGAGGAGAUGGCGCUGGGAGAUAAUUUGGGGAGCACAAGAUCAUAAACAAGUGGCAACUUGGAGGAAUUCCCAGAAAACAAGAAGUGAUUGACUGAAUAAACUGCAAGGCAUAUUAGCGAUGCAAAAGGUGACAUCAAAGGAAGAACAAGCUGAAGGUUGUGACAACGCAUGGCUGCCAUUCACUAAUUACAGGCCACAGAAAGCAGCAGCAGAUGUUGGGAUGAGAUGUACAUCUGGAGGUGCACAUCUGAGGUCAUCAAAAAUGGGGCCAGAGCUACAGCCACAGCCCCAUCCCACUUUUGUUUGCCAUGGGGUGAAUCCACCAUGAUUUUUGGGAGCCAUCACCUGCGUCAAUAGGGAAGCACCAGCAGAAACAGGACUGAAUGACUGCUCUGGGCAGUGACAAUGCUGAUUUCAUUCAAAGUGAGGUGGAAGGUUUCCUGGACAAAUUAAUCCAGGGCUUUGUAUGGCUGGAAACCUCUAUCCCCAACCACUGAGCAUGUUGUAGAGGGCAGGAGUGAUAGUCACAGGGCAGGAAACAGGGCUGGUGGCCAGCUUUCACUGCCACCACUGCAAUGGUAACAGAUACACAGAAUUAUUUGAAUUGGAAGGGACUUUAAAGGCCAUGUACAGGCCAUCAACCCCCCUGCAAUGAACAGGGACACCUACAGCUCCAUGAGGUGCUCAGAGUCCCAUCCAGCCUGACCUUGGGUGUCUUCGGGGACAGGGCAUCCAUCACCUCUCUGGGCAACCUGUUCCCGUGCCUCACCAUCCUUAUCAUAAAAACUUUAUAUCUAGUCUAAGUCUUCUCUUUUAGUUUGAAACCAUUUCCCCUUGUCCUAUCACACAGGCCCUGCUAAAGAGUCCGUCCCCUUCCUUCCUACAGCCCCCCUUUAGAUACUGAAAGGCCGCUCUCAGGUCUCCCCGGAGCCUUCUCUUCUCCAGGAUGCACAGCCCCAGCUCUCUCAGCUUGUCCUUGUAGAGGAGGUCAUUUUUGUGUCCCUCCUCUGGAUGCACUCCAACAGGUCCACGUCUCUCCUAUACUGAGAACUCCACAUCUGGAUGCAGUACUCCAGAUGAGGUCUCACAGCACAGAGCAGGAUCACCCCCCUCACCUUGCUGCCCAUGCUGCUUUGGAUGCAGCCUAGGAUCUGAUUGGCUUUCUGGGCUGCGAGGGCACAUUGCUUGCCAUCCACCAGCACCCCAGCUUCUUUUCAGCAGAGCUGUGCUCCAUCCUUACAUCCCCAGCUUGUACUUAUAGCAGGGGUUGCCAUGACCCAGGUGCAAGACAACCUUGCACUUGGCUUUGUAUUUAGUGCAUUUAGUAUAUUUAGUAGGAUCACUGAUAGCAGAUAAUGCCCAUGCAUCCCAACAAAGAGCCAAGGGUAUUUUGGUCCUUCACUGAAGGAAGCGUAGCAGAGUUACAUCCGAGGCCUUUUCUCCCCCACCACUCUCAGCUGAAAGCAGGCACAGCCCUGCUCAAGGGGGAAAUCUGUUCUCCUUGCUCAGUCUGAGAAAGCACAGCAUCCUCUGCCUGCCCAUGUCAAAGCUUGUGAAGCAGAAACGAUUUUGCUGUCCAGUGACUCCUGUGUCCUUACUGAGGGUUGAGCAGUGUGAUCCCAAAAAUAUUAAGCAUUUUUUUUCUAGUUUUUGCCUGGUAGUUUACUAAGAUCCACCAAGAAGAAAAUGAGGAAGAUUCGAUUUAAACAUCUCACCACUACUAGGAAAGAGUCCAAUCAUUUCCUCAAUGACCUCAUCUUUUUUUGCCUCAGCCUCCUUGCCUUGCCUUGCCUGGUUAGCCAUUUCACAUAUUUAUUAUUCCUUGUAUGAAAUAAUACUUCCUGACAUCUGUUCCCAGUUUGUUUCUCUUUAAUUUCCAUUUAUAGCACAUUUUCCUAUCCUCUGACCAUGUUAAAAUAAAACAAUAAGUAUGUUUGACACAGUGCAAGUUACUUCAGAUCAUGAUCCUUCCCUGACCUUGACUUUAUGCUUUUUGCAUGUGCUAAAAUGUGGAAAAAUAAUUAAAUGAACACUGAGAGGAGGCAAGUGGAAAGCCAAAAGAAUCAGCAACCACUCAGCAUUUCACACCCCUGAUUACCCAGCGCCUGGUGUGAGGACCAGGCUCAGCAGUCCCCGUCCUGUUCCACUCUGACAUGUAUCAGCUGCAGCCAAGUGGGGAAAGGGAAGAGCUGGGGCUGCGUGCUCCUUCCAGAUAGAGGGGAGAACUGGGUGGCUGUAAGGGUUGGGCAGAAGCAUGGGAAAGCAAAUGUUAAUUCCGAGUGCAGUGAUACAGACUGGCUUGGGUGAUGCUUUACCUCCUGACCAGGCAGAUGGGAAAAGGUGCCCUUUCCUUGCUCUGAAAAGAGACUGUGCGCUUCCAAUUGCAACCUGGCAACUCUACAAGCAAAAAAAUCAUAUGGAGAAUCAGGGAGGAGCACUUUAGUUACAGCAUCUCUGUCUUAGUACAGGCAGCCAAUAUCAUUUUUGCUCAGGAGAAAGUUGCUUAUGUAGCUAAGAAAGAACCAGUGUAGCCUCCAACCAAAUGUGUAAGCAUGUCUUCCUGUUAGCAACAAGAGCAGCACACCAGAGUCGUGCUCCAUCACUAUUCUAUGGACUAUCAGGCAGUUUCCCAGUAAGAACCAUCAUGCUCCAUGCAGCUCCUCCACGUCAUCCUGCACCAGGAAGGCAGUAAUUAUGGUUACUGCUCCUGUUGUGGCAAAGUGGACAACCCCUGAACUGAAACGUGAAACAAAACAUCUCAGCUCAGUCCCCGCCUGGCUGGAAGGGCAGCAGCUGCACUGCAGUUCUGUGUUAUGGCCAAGGAGAGAGGUGGGUUCCUGCAACAGCCAAAAAAGCCACAGCUCAGUUCCAGUCAUGGUGCUCUGUAUGUAUCUUAUCUGCUUUUGGAAGUUUUCUUCACACAACUAUUUUAUCAAUAGAGCUUUAUAAUCUGCAUGCUUGCCAAGGGCAUUUUCCUUCUGAGGAUUCCUAGCUGAGCACACCCACACUACAAACUCUGGGUUUAACCUGGGAGUUUUCAAGGUCAAGACAAACGUCACGGCAAAGAGCAGCCAAGUUAAAUUGCGCACUGACAGAGCGCUGGCCUCUCAAACACACCACACAGCACCAUGCCAGGGCUGUGCCACGUAAGGCUCAGGAGCCGGAAGGCUAACGGGGGCUGCCAGCCUUGAGGGAAGCAGGCUAGAAGUGGCUUUGGAAGCUUGCCAGCUGAUCACUACAUCAGGCUUUUGAGAAACCAGUGUCACCUUGUGCCGCCCAAGAGAUGCUCCCAUGGCCGUCCCUUGGCUCUCUGUGGCAUGGGGUGAGUGUUCAUCAGCAGCCCAGCAGGGCCAACUCACAUGCUUGGGAACCAUUUACUUAAUCCUCAGCAGCACUAAGGCUUGUGAUGAGAAAAAAGUGUGUUUGUGACUCUUCUCCCUCAACUCUCUGCACUUCAUCCCCUGCGCUCCAAGCUCUAGGCAGGCAGAGUUUGCGUAGGUAGAUUUGUCCUACAUAGCCCAUGGUUUGGAAGGAUAAACACAAAUCCCCCUAGUCUGUCUGUUCCUUCUGCUCAUUUCUCCCCUGCCACAAUUGGCCAAUUUACCUUUGCUGUUCACCCAGUGCAGCAUUUACAGCAUCUGGAAGAGUAAAAAAGUGAUAGGUAGGAAAAAAAAAGAGAAAAGCUCCUCUAAACUCGAAGGGAUGAUUAUGCAAAGCUUUAUCACUGCUGCCUCGGAGAACAGGCCUGGAGGAGGGGCUGGAGAGAGCUUCACAGCUUAACUUCACCCAUGCUUUGUUCUGAAUGUGUUGUACAGUUACAACUGGUACUUAACCAUCAUUACCUAUUUUAUAUACAGGAACAGGCACUGUGAAUAAGUACGGAGGUCAUUUGUUUUUUUGAGUUGCAAUCUCUUUAUUUUCUGUGAGUCAAGUGGUCUGAGUCAGUGCAGUCAUGCUCUCCUCUAUUUCUGUGAGUUUCUUCAGCAUCUGGCUCACCUUGGCCUCA